rnacentral:lncRNA from 1 species
GCAAUGCCUUUUGGCUAUGUGAAGGAGCGCCUGGACUUCGUGGACUUCGACAAGUUUGAGUGCAAGCAAAGCCUGAUCGAAGGCGGCGAUCUCGGGAAGAAGAUCGAGUCAGCCUCGACCCAGUUCAAGUUCGAGCAAACCAGCAAGGGAGUGUGUGUGUGCAAGGUGGUCACAACCUAUAAGCCAUUACCAGGAGUUGAGAACAAGGAUGAGGUAGCCAAGGCAAAGGAAGCAGUGACCGCGAUCAUCAAGGCAGCAGAGGCCCACCUCCUGGCCAACCCUGGUUCCUACGCUUGAAGUGGUUCGGGUUUGAGCUCAUACACCUGGUGGUGUGACAGAGAACUAUAAUCAGCAAGAGUUUGCGUACGUUUUGGAGUGAGCGUUUGCGAGGUUGUUCUGGUUGUUUCCAUGCUUUCCUUUUCUACUGAGUGCCUCUCUAUGGAAAAUAAUUAAAUAAAUAAACCAACUGGUUUAGUGUGUGUAUGGCAGAUUUGUGAACCUUCUUAUAAUGCCAUCAGAUUUACAUAAAAGAAAUUGAAAAAAAAAAAAGUAUAUUUGAAAGAAAAAAAGGAGCAAAAUUAUGGCCGUCUUGUCAAGUGCUUCAGGCUUUUAUUUUGUCCUUACAAAUUUGAUUUUAUCCAACUAUUUUCACUCGCUUGGCAUUUUAUUCGUGUGCUAUUCACCCAAAUAGAUUUUUGACUAACUGAUGACUUGAGUUAGUUUGUACUGGUUAAAAGAUCAAUUCUUCGGUCAUCCCAUAGCCUCUCGAGUAGGGUUAAUUACAAGCUCCCGCAAGCAAUGACCCAUCAAGGAUUCUGCUUAUAUUACUAUGUACCGGUACACAUCCACCAUGGGACUAAGACUUAAAAACUUGCUAUUUGGAUUAUCCCACAUAUCAUUCUUUUUGGUAUGAUGGGCUUGAUAUACAUCCAAUCAAACCGUUUUAGAUAGGUUAAUACUGAAUCUAGAAAGGGUAGCAAAUUUUUUUCUUCAAUGAGCCAACUAGGCUAAUAGAGUCCUCCAAACAUCAUUCCUCUAGCUAGCUUGUAUAAAUUCCUCGAUAAAGAUAUCUCAUUACAAAAACCAUUUGCUCUUCCGAGGAAAAAACUUUUUAUAUAUCCUAAUAAGUUUGUUUAUAACCACCAUAUUACAAGCCUAUAAGUAGCUACAACAGCCUCCUUAGUAGUGGUGGAUUAUCUACAGGUAGACUUGGAUUUGACCAACACCAUUAAAGAGUGAAUUUAGAUUUUAUUGUUCAUAGAAAAGAAUGAUUGUUCUACUUUUGCGAUAUCGACCAUUGAAUCAUAUCUUGCACAAAUUUCAAAGUAUUUUAAUUUUUUUAUUUAGGACCUACGCAAGUCUUAAAGUCGCAAUUGCAUGAUCUAACAGUGGAUUUGUAUGAAGGAAGGUGAAUUCUUCUUUUGUGCAAAAAAGAUAAACCCUAUCCUUAAAGAGUAGCUAGGCUAAACUUGAUCCAGCAUUGCUAUAAUCCAGCAUGACAUAGACUAGGUUCCAUGCACAGUUCAUAACUUUGACCUGACACAACCCAAGCAAGCUUUGAUUUAAACUGAGCACACAUUAAAAGCAAACCAUAGGUUGCUAUUUUUACCAUUGAUUUUGUUAAAACAACUAAGAGAUCACAUGAAAUUUUGUAAUUACUUUCAUGGAAUUUAAAUUUUUCAACACGCACAUUUUCUGGGAUGGAACCUGUGAAUUCUUAGAUGCUACAUGCAUACUGAACUUUAUCAAGAAACAUUCAUGCAUCCUAACAUCUAAUAUUGGCCAUGAGGGCUCUACGACUUCAUAAUUGAGUCGGCCUUGUGUCAUACACUCACAGUCUAAAUGUUUAAGCUAUAAAGAGCACGAUCGGCCACCUUAAUGAAUUUAUAUGAGGUCGCUUUAUUAGUCAAUAUGAAAUUAUAACAUUUUUCUCUACCCUGGUGAUAUCCUCGUUAUCAAUGGCGCUUAUUCGAAGAGAGGGGCCUACCAUGGCCUAAGUUCUUCUCUCAACAAAAAGUCUAGAUGGCUAAUGAAGUUUGAGACGUACAAUAGGCGUAACUUUGACAUCACUUGUCACAGUUUCACGGUCCAAAACAAAGCUAUCGGAAGGACCGGCCGAACUAAUGGGCUCUUAUGACAAUUUUUUAUUAGUCAAUAUUGGAGCAUGACAUUUAGUUGCUCCGUCGCGAUAUGAGUGGAUAUGCGUCUCCGUUCCGUUCUGUGACGCUACCACCGUAAGACCGGCGCCUUCUUGCCCUGCGGCUGCGGGGCACGUCAUUCCGUCAAAAUCUCCGCCUUGAACCUUGAACCCUUUGCACUUCAGAAAACAAGCCUUCCGCAGGGGAACAAAAAGCAUGGAAGCAGGCCCCUCCGCUUGGGAAAAUAUUUGUGGCAGCGGUGGCACCACAUUAAAUUUAUCAUAAUUUAAUAAAAAUAUUUAUAUUUCAUCGAAUAUCAUGAAUAAUAUUCCAUUCUAACGAUCGAGUUUCGAUUUUUGAUUAAAUUGUGACAGUUUUUUUUUUUUUUUGUACGCGGUAUCUCUUCGAUUGUAGAGCUCCUGCCACAUACAUCAACGGGAUUUUAAUGUGCAAAAAAGAAAAUCUAAAUUUAUAUGCUGGAUUCAAACGCGUGUUAGAAUUUAUAUGCUGGAUUUUGCUGUGACAUGUGCAGACUGCGGAGCUGAUCAAGCCGCCUCAUAAAUUUCUUUGAGGACGGCAAAGUUUUUCCAGACCAUAAUAAUUUUUUUUGUAAAGACCCAGACCAUAAUAAUUAAUGCAAGCUACAGCCCUCAAAACCUGAUCAGGUAGGGAGAAGGCUGCUGGUAGAUUGGCAUGCCGGGAGGAAGAUCUGUGCCCAUCUUCCUGCAUGUAAGAAAUAAAAAGAAGAGCGUGAAGAUUGUCAGAGCAGAUCCAAUCAAAAAUCCUCUGAUAUGCUCAAGUUAAAUAAGAUUUUAAAGAAUUAUAGGAGAUGAAAUUAUACAACCAAAGAAAAAUGUAUGUUUGGCAUCCUUUCAUAGGCGAAGGAUCCUUAACCCAAUGACAAUUGGAUUGGUGUUUGGAUUGAAUUCGGAUCAAAUUAUCAAUCCAAAUGAAAUCUAUUUGUUAAGUAAAUUAGAAAUUCUGAUUUAAAUCUUAUUUAUUUAUUAAAUAGAUAAUCUAUAAUUCUUUUAUUAAUAGAUCAAAUUAAAUUAAAAUUAUUUUUAAUAGAUUAAAGAGAUUUAAAUAAAUUAAACAGUUUAAGUGGAUCAGAUUAAACAUAACAAAAAUAAAUUAAACAGAUUUUAAAUAAAUGAAGUAGAUUUUGAAUGGAUUAAAUGAAUCAAAUUAUGAUUUAAUUAAAUUAUUAAAUAGUUAAAAUAGAUUAAAUGGAUUAAAGAUCUAAAUUUAAAUCUAAUUCAUUUAAUAAAUAGAUAUCGACCGGCUAAUGAGAAUGGUUAAUUUAAACAAACGUGCAUGUGACCCCAGCCCGCAUAUUGGUUAUUAGUAAAAAAAUGGUUAUUAUAAAUUUAUACUGCUCUUUAGCUCCUUCGUUUUCCCGUUGUUAUAGCAAUAAAACAGAAAAAGCGAUAACAGACGUUAUAGUGGGUUAUUGGGCAAUAUAACAAUUUAUUAUAAUCUAAACAAUCUCCAGAUAACUAAGGUUUAUCUAGCCUGAAAAUAAUACUAUUUAUUAAAUAACACUUAGAGAAUAGAGGGUCGGUUUUCAUAUAUUAUUUUAAUAUUAAAAGUUUAAAAUCAUAAGCUGCGGCGGGGGGGGCCAUAUAUUGACUGUUAUAAUCAUCAUAAAUGUACGAAUACGGUUGACUAAAACAAAACCUUGAUGCGAGACACCUAGCUACCCCUCUCCCACGCACUUCUUUCCUCCCUUCAUUUUCUUAGUCAGCAGUUUAGCAAAUUAAAGAACGCUGCCCAAAACCAGCAUGCGUGCUUCUUGGUUUAAAUACCUACCAUUCCACCCAAACCCUCUCCACCGUCCAUAUGGUCCGGGAUUUGCUCCGGUUCACUUGCACCUGGUGCAUGCAACAAUUUCUCCUAUAAAAUCCCCAUCCCUUGCUCACCAUUCUCCAUCUCAUUUUCGCUCACCACAACUCAGUAGAAGGAUUGAAGCCUAGGAAAACAAUCCAAUUUAACCAUGAGUCCCUCCAUUUGGACCCUCGAGAUCGAGUCUCCGGUCCCCGCCGCAAGGCUGUUCAAGGCGGUCCUCGACUGGCACAGCCUGGCCCCUAAGCUCCUCCCCAACAUCGUCGCAAGCGCCGUCGGUGUCCAAGGUGACGGCAGCGUCGGAAGUGUCCGGCAGCUCAACUUCACCUCAGGUAUGUAUUACAACCAGCACCUCUGAAAUUUUUCUAGUCUUAAUUAUCUGUAUAUAUUUCAUGUACUUAAGAGCUGGUGCCAUUCAUAUUUGUAGCAAUGCCAUUUGGGUAUGUGAAGGAGCGCCUGGACUUUGUGGACUUCGACAAGUUUGAGUGCAAGCAAAGCCUGAUCGAAGGCGGUGAUCUCGGAAAGAAGAUUGAGUCCGCCUCGACCCAGUUCAAGUUCGAGCAAACCAGCAAGGGAGGGUGUGUGUGCAAGGUGGUGACAACCUAUAAGCCAUUACCAGGAGUUGAGAACAAGGAUGAGGUAGCCAAGGGAAAGGAAGCGGUAACCGGGAUCAUCAAGGGAGCAGAGGCCUUCCUUUUGGCCAAUCCUGGUGUCUACGCUUGAAGUUGUUCGGGUUUGAGCUCAUAUACCUGGUGGUGUGAUGGGACCAUGAUCAGCAAGAGUUUGCGUUUGGUGUGAGCGUUUGCGAGGUUGUUCUGGUUGUUUCCAUGCUUUCCUUUUCUAGAUGAGUGCACCGCUAUGAAAAAUAAUUAAAUAAAUAAACCAGCUGGUUUAGCGUGCGUAUGGCAGAUUUGCGAUCCUUUUUACAUUGCCAUCAGAAUUACAUAAAAGAAAUGGAAAAAAAGCAUAUUUGAAGAAAAAAUAAAAGAGAAAAAUUAUGAUGUCACAUUCCGAUACUGUGGUCCAAGCUGGAUACAGAACAGAUUACCGCACGCCCUUAGAGUUUAACCCCAGACAUACAUGCAAGGCUUGCCUUUAUUUUUCAAAAAUAUCAUAUCAAACCAUACCCAUACCCAGAGAGCGGUAGUAAAAACAAAUUUCUAAUUUUAUUAAUUCAAAUAAAAAUAAUUCAUUAAUAAUUUUUAAAAUUUAUUAAUAUAAAUUAAAAUAAAUAUUUAUUCAAAAAAUAAAUGUUCUUUAAGAUCUUAAGCUCCUCGCUGCUUGCUCUCAGUCCCCAUAUAUUUCUUUUGGAUCAAAAAAAAAAAAAGUUACCAAUAUCUCCGAAGGCUCAAAUAUAAUUAUAUUCUUUUCCAAACAUAAUAAUUGACAAUAAUAGAUGUAUAAAGUAACAUAAUUUUAAUUUUCAAAACAUGUCAUGCAUAAUAAUAAAAUUUAAAAUUCUCUUUCAGUUUUUGGUGACUACGGUCGCGAUCAAUCCCAUGACAAGACUCAGAAGAGAUGAGUUUUUAAAUACAGAACAUGCAAUCCAUCAGUGUGUACCAGUUAUCAGUCUUACUUGUUGGGCAUAGAAGGAAAUUAGCUCUGAUUCACACGGUCACAAUUAACUCUAUAUAUAGGACAAAAAGAUUCGUUCUGAAAUCAAAUAUACGAUGCGUCAGUCUGUGCCAGAGAUUAGCCAUGACUGGCUAGGCUCAGAAGAACUAACUCUGUUAGCAAUCAGUUCUGAUUGGCUAGGUAUAGAAGAAAAUAGUUUCUAAUUGUGUAGCUAAUAAUCAGUCCUGUUGGUUAGACCGAGAUUAUAGUAUACUAGAGAGUUUUUCUCAUAACCAACAUAUUUAUUUUCAUAACACAAAUUUUCAUAUUUUAUCUCUAAAAAGAAAAGAAUAUUUUUUUAUUCAAAAAAUUAUGCAAGCAUAGAACCAUGCAAUAUAGGAGAACCAUCAUAUUUAAAAUUUAUAAACAUGUUAGUGUAUAUGAUCCAUUAUUUUGAAUUUCAUAAGAUACGUAAUGUCCAAACUUUCAAUUUUCUAAAUACCAUAAUUUUUGUUCAAUUUCUAAAUUGGAAAGUACAAGAAGUAUGUUAAGUAAAAUUCCAGAGAUAAAUAGAACUAUAGUCGAUCGGAUCUAAAAUUCUACGAUCUUGAGAGCCCGAUGUCUAGGUCCGGUGCUCCACUGGUGAUGAAGGUUCUAGCACAAGCAGUUCAUAAAUUUAUUAGCCUUCAAUUUGAGAAAGAUAAAUAGAAAGAGGCUCUUAGUCUGGUACUCCUGAUCUAGAUCAAUGUUUGGGUCAGUUGGUGAGUCAGAUCUUUAUGGUUUAGAUUGACUUAAACUCAAUUGGAUUGGGUUCCGAGGGUUUACUGAAAGGUUGAAUUCUUUUUCCUCCCCUCUCUCUUUUUCUCUCUAUUCCUCUCUCUCUCUUUCUUCCUUCCUUCUCUCUCUCUCUCUAUUUCUUUCUCUUCUUUUCUCUCUUUCUCCAUCUCUUUCUCUCUCCUCUCUCUCUUUUUUUCUUCUUUUCUUUCUUCCUCUCUUCUCUUGCUGAACUGUGGUUCCACCAAGAUUUUCGAAGGGAAAGCAGAGGGGAGGAGGGGUGGGGUUGGUGGUGGCACGGCAACGACUAGAGGCACCGGCGGUCUGGUCAUGCAUAGGGGGGUCCAAGAGAAAGAGAAAGGGGCACUACCCCUUGCUACUAUGGUAGCAGCACCUAAGCCGAAAGAAAGGGAGGAGGGCUUAUCGACGGUGAAAGGCUAUGGCUAGAGAGUUCCAAUGGUAAAAAAAAAAAUACCCAAAAAACUUUUCUAAAUAGAGGAGAUAUAGAGGAUUAUGGAGGAAGGGGGUUUUUGGACGAUGGCAGUUUGAUUGCGAUAGCUCGACGGUUGUCAGAGGUGAGGAAGAAGAGAGGGGGAGGGGCUUCGAUUGUGAAUCAAUCAAGAGGAGGUGGGGUUUAAGAAGAAAAGGAUGGGAAGAGAUAGACUCGAUUCAACCGCAGAUAAAGUCAUCCUUCACUAGUAUAACCAUCCCAAAUGGCCUUCGACCAUUCCUAAUAUGCCUGUGAGGCUUAUUCAAUCGUUCGCAUGACCUUAUCCCCUUCCAUGUAAGGGAUCAGGUAGUGGAUUAGGUUCCUCUUUUUUGAUCCAAAAAAAAAUUUGAAAAUUUAUGAUGAAGUCGGCAAGUCUUGCUAACUUUAUCCCAAAUCGGAUCCAAUUGGACUGGUUCUCAUAUUUGGCCAUCCAGUCAAAUGUCUCAGUCUUUUAUUUUGUCCUUAUAAACUUGAUUUUAUUCAACUACUUUCACUUGCUUGGCAUUUUAUUUGCGUGCUAUUCAUCUGAAUAGAUUAUUGACUCAUUGAUGACUUGAGUUAGUCUAUGGAUAAGAGAUCAAUUAUUCAGCCAUCCCAUAGCCUCCUGAGCGGGGUUACAAGCUCACGCUAGUAGUGACCCAUCCUCUACUUACAUUACCAUGUAAUAGUACAGUACAUAUCCAACAUGAGACUAAGACUUGAAAAUUUGGUAUUUGGAUUAUCCCACAUAUCAUUCUUUUUGGUACCAUGAGCUUGAUAUGCACUGUAUAUGGACCAUAACGACAAUUAAUGAAUUUCAAUUUGAAUCAGCUACAUCCAAUCAAACCAUUUUAGAUAGGUUAUUGAAUCUAGCAAGGGUAGAAAAUUUUUGUCUUGGUUAAGCCAACUAGGCUGAUAUAGUCCUCCAAAUAUCAUUCCUCUAGCUCGUAUAAACUCCUUGAUGAAGAUCUCUCAUUACAAAAACCAUUUACUCCUCCACAGAAAAAGCUCUUUAUAUAUCCUAAUAAGUUUGUUUAUAAUCCCCAUAUUACAAGCCUAUCAGCAGCUAUAAUAGCCUCGCUAGUAGCGGUGGAUUAUCUAAAAGGUAGUUUUGGAUUUAACCAACACCAUUAAAAAGUGAAUUUAGGUUGUAUUGUUCACAAAAAAGAAUGAUUGAUCUUCUUUUGUGAUAUCGACCAUUGAAUCAUAUCCUGCACAUAUCUCAAAGCAAUCCAAUUUUUUAUUUAGGACUUGCACAAGCCUUGAAGUCACAUUGCGUGAUCCAAUGGUGGAUUUGUGUGAAGGAAGAUGAAUCCUUCUUUCAUGCAAAAGAGAUAACCCCUGUCCUUAAAGAUAGGCUAAAUUUGAUGUAGCAUCUCUCUAAUCCAACAUGGCACAUACUAGGUUCAACGUACGGUGCCGUAACUUCGACCUAACACAACCCAAGCAAGAUCUGAUUUCAACUUAGGACACAUUAAAAGCAAACCAUAGGUUGCUAUUUUUAUAACUCAAUUUUGUUAAAACAGCUAAGAGAUCACAUGAAAUUUUGCAACUACAAAUUCACGGAAUCUAAAUUUUUCAAGAUACAUUUUCUGAGAUCGAACUUGUAGAUUCUGAGGUGCUAUAUGCAUGCUAAUCUUUCUCAAGAAACAUGCAUGCAUCCUAACAUCUGAUAUUGGCCAUGAGGGCUUUAUGACUUCAUCAUAUUUGAGUAGGCCGUGUGUCAUACACUCAUAAUCUAAAUACUUAAGCUAUUGGGAGGAGGAUCGGCCCAGCUUAAUAAAUCUAUAUGGGAUCUUUGUUUUAUUAGUCAAUAUGAAACUGUAAUAAUCUCUCUACCCUCAUAAUAUCCUCGUUGUCCAUGGUGCCUACUUGAAGCGGGGGUCUAUCAAUGGCCUAGGUUCUUCUCAACUCUGGUAUCUCUCAGCAAAUAGUCCAGAUGACUAAUGAAGUUUGAGACGCAUAUAACUUGUCACAGUUUCACGGUCCAAAAAGAAUGCUAUUGGAAGGAGGACCGGCCGAAUUAAUGGACUCUCAUGGCAACGUCAUAUUAGUCAAUAUUGGAGUAUGACAUUUAGUUGCGCUGUCCGGAUAUGAGUGGAUAUCUAGAAGCCUAGUUCUCUGUUCUGUUCUGUGACGCUACCACCGUAAGACCGGCGCCUUGUUGCCCUGCGGCGGCCGCCGCCGCAUUGCGUGGUGCAAUUGGACCGCGCAAAUACCACGGUGGAUAGGACUAUAGUAUUCAUUUAUAGAUGAACAGUUCUUACCCUCAUGGCAAUUGGAUUGGGUCAUCCCGAAUUUGAGUCGGAUUCCGAUCAAAUUAUCAAUCCAAAUGACAUUUAUUUAUUAAAUAAAUUAAAAAUUUAAAUUUAGAUUCAAUCUAUUUAUUAAACAAAUAACUUAUAAUUUAUUUAUUAAUAGAUCAAUUUAAAUUAAAAUUAUUUUUAAUAGAUUAAAAAGAUUUAAAUAGAUUAAACAGCUUAAUUAAAUGGAUCGAACUAAACAUAACAAAAAUAAAUUAAGCCGAAUUUAAACCAAUGAAGUAGGCUUUGAACUGGUUAAAUGGAUUGGAUUAUGAUUCAAUUAAAUUAUUAAAUAAAUUAAAAUAGAAUAAAUAAAUCAAAAAUUUAAAUUUAAUUCUAAUCUAUUUAAUAAAUAGGUAUUCAUCCGCCGGUGAGAAUAAUUAAUAUAAACAUAGGCUGCCACGUGACCACAGCCUGCAUAUUGAUUAUUAUAAAAAAAAGAGAAUGGUUAUUAUAAAUUUAUAGUGCUUUUUAGUCCCUUCCUUUUCCCGUUUUAAUAGCAAUAAAAUGGAAAAAGCGAUAACAGACGUUGCAGUGGGUUAUUGGGCAAUAUAACAAUUUAUUAUAAUCUAAACAAUCUCCAAAUAACUAAGGUUGUCUAGCCUGAAAAUAAUAUUUUAUUAAAUAAACACUUAAAGGGUUGGGCUUUCAUAUAUUAUUUUAAUAUUAAAAAUUUUAAAUCAUAAACUAAGGCUUGGCGCAUAUAUCGAACGAUCGCAAAUGUUUUAGCUCGGAUCCGUCAGAACGUAAAAUACCAUCCACGGAACCCAACCUUGACGUGAGACACCUAACUACCUCUCUCCCACGCACUUCUUUCCUCCCUUCAUUUUCUUAGUCAGCAGUUUAGCAAAGAACGCUAGCCAAAUUUGAAUAAACCAGCAUGCGUUCGUCUUGGUUCCAUACCUACCAUCCCACACAAACCCUCUAUAAAACCCCCAUCCCUUGCUCACCAUUCUCCAUCUCAUUUUCACUCAUCACAACUCANNNNNNNNNNNNNNNNNNNNGUAGUAGUAGUAGUGAAGCCUAGGAAACAAUCCAGUUUAACCAUGAGUCCCUCCACCUGGACCCUUGAGAUCGAGUCCCCGGCCCCCGCCGCAAGGCUGUUCAAGGCCGUCCUCGACUGGCACAACCUGGCCCCUAAGCUCCUGCCCAACAUCGUCGCAAGCGCCGUCGGUGUCCAAGGUGAUGGCAGCGUCGGAAGUGUCCGGCAGCUCAACUUCACCUCAGGUAUAUAUUACAACCCACACCUCUGAAAUUUUCUAGUUUUAAUUAUCUGCAUAUAUUUCAUGUACUUAAGAGUUGGUGCAAUUCAUAUUUGUAGCAAUGCCAUUUGGGUAUGUGAAGGAGCGCCUGGACUUUGUGGACUUCGACAAGUUUGAGUUCAAGCAAAGCCUGGUGGAAGGCGGUGACCUCGGGAAGAAGAUCGAGUCAGCCUCGAGCCAGUUCAAGUUCGAGCAAACCAGCAAGGGAGGGUGCGUGUGCAAGGUGGUGACAACCUAUAAGCCAUUACCAGGAGUUGAGAACAAGGAUGAGGUAGCCAAGGGAAAGGAAGCAGUGACCGGGAUCAUCAAGGCAGCAGAGGCCCACCUCCUGGCCAACACUGGUGCCUACGCUUGAAGUUGUUCGGGUUUGAGCUCAUAUACCUGGUGGUGUGAUAGGACCACAAUCAGCAGGAGUUUGCGUUUGGUGUGAGCGUUUGUGAGGUUGUUCUGGUUGUUUAAUUCCAUGCUUUCCUUUUCUACU